rnacentral:rRNA from 1 species
AAGGUUUCCGUAGGUGAACCUGCGGAAGGAUCAUUAAUGAAUAAACUUGCGUGAGUUGUUGCUGACCUCCUCGGAGGUAUGUGCACGCUUGCCAUCGUUUCAUUCCCUUCCCACCUGUGCACUUUUUGUAGACCCGGCCGUUGCCUUUCAGGUUGCUUGCGAGCAUUCUGGUUAUGAGGGCUUGCUCUGGCUGUCCUUGGAUGGUCGUGGUCUAUGUCUUUUGCCAACUCUGUAUGUAACCGAAUGUCUGUUCUGGGUUUUGCACCCAUACAAUCUAAUACAACUUUCAACAACGGAUCUCUUGGCUCUCGCAUCGAUGAAGAACGCAGCGAAAUGCGAUAAGUAAUGUGAAUUGCAGAAUUCAGUGAAUCAUCGAAUCUUUGAACGCACCUUGCGCUCCUUGGUAUUCCGAGGAGCAUGCCUGUUUGAGUGUCAUUAAAUCCUCAACCUUACAUUCCUUGUGACCGUGAGGUUGGAUGUGGAAGUUUGCUGGCUUCACCGUCAGCUCUUCUGAAAUGCAUUAGCAGGGCUGCUGUAUUGUGAGGCUGUUGCUUGGUAUUGAUAGUUGUCUUACCAGGUGUCAGAGUUAGCAAUGCGCCCCAGCUUCCAGUCGUCCCUCUGGGACAACAAGUUGACGAUUUGACCUCAAAUCAGGUAGGACUACCCGCUGAA